rnacentral:rRNA from 1 species
UACGUAGGGUGCGAGCGUUAAUCGGAAUUACUGGGCGUAAAGCGUGCGCAGGCGGUUUUGUAAGUCAGAUGUGAAAUCCCCGGGCUCAACCUGGGAACUGCGUUUGAAACUACAAGGCUAGAGUGUAGCAGAGGGGGGUGGAAUUCCACGUGUAGCAGUGAAAUGCGUAGAGAUGUGGAGGAAUACCGAUGGCGAAGGCAGCCCCCUGGGCUAACACUGACGCUCAUGCACGAAAGCGUGGGGAGCAAACAGG